GCCAGGAGCUGGGCAAAGCACCUGCAGAAAGCCCCCAAGGAACGGCUGUGGUGAAGGUCCGAUGAUGCCAAACAUUUUCAUUUCUCAGGAGAAAAAGUCAGUGGUGCUUGGCAGGAUUUGGACUUCUCUGCAAGACACCUCUGAUCACAACACAUCCUCAUGGUUUGAAAAAUUCAUCCAAGAACCUGCAAUGUCACAAACAGGAGCUGGAGCUAAACAUGUCUGGGAAGACAAAUUCCUUAACUGUUCAGUGCUGAAGGACAUGUUAAUUUGUGAACCGUACCAAAAAGACAUUUUUAUAACACGUUUAACGCUCCAAAGCUAUGAGGGAACAGCAGCGAGAGUGAAGGAGGACAGCUCUGCUGGUAUUAAAAGGGUCAUUAAACUCAGCAUUAGAAAGCUCCCCAAGAGUUUAUUUAAAGCAUUUAUUGCUUUCAACAGAAGAAGGAAGAAGCACAGAAUUUGGUCUAAAGAAAUUAAGUCAACUUUGAUGGAGGUAAUCAGCAGAAAUAUAGCUUUAUUGCAUUUAUGCUACAGAAUUUUGACAUAUAAACAAUACUUUCUUCAGCACAGGAAUUUAAAAGUCCUGUUCUAGCUAAAAAUGAAAAAUCUUUGUUGCUUCAUGGGCCUUUAAUGGGUGACAAAGUUCACGGCCAUUACCUUGAAGCCUCCAGUUGAAAUUUAGACUGAUUGUGAUUAAAAGUAAUUUCUGUCUGACAGCUCAUGUGAAGAGAGUUACUUCAUUUCAUAACAAAUAUGUGACCAACAGCCUAAAAAUUAUUAUCACAAUUUAACAAGACCAUUGGCAGUUCCAGGAGCACCAUGGAUAGAAGGAAG
rnacentral:lncRNA from 1 species